GGAUCAAUGAUGAGUUUAAAUGUCUGAGGAUGCUGAGAGACUCAUUCCAGGUAUUGAUCUGAGGUCC